AUAUGACAAGGACCACUCUGGUAUGAUAGGAGCCACACGGGCGAGUGCACGUACCUUGAUGGAAAGAAAUCCAGGAUGCAGAGCCCCAGGGAAAUUAUUACACUCUU